rnacentral:rRNA from 1 species
AUUGAACGCUGGCGGCAUGCCUUACACAUGCAAGUCGAACGGUAACAGGUCUUCGGAUGCUGACGAGUGGCGAACGGGUGAGUAAUACAUCGGAACGUGCCUAGUAGUGGGGGAUAACUACUCGAAAGAGUGGCUAAUACCGCAUGAGAUCUACGGAUGAAAGCAGGGGAUCGCAAGACCUUGUGCUACUAGAGCGGCCGAUGGCAGAUUAGGUAGUUGGUGGGAUAAAAGCUUACCAAGCCGACGAUCUGUAGCUGGUCUGAGAGGACGAUCAGCCACACUGGGACUGAGACACGGCCCAGAGUCCGACGGGAGGCAGCAGUGGGGAAUUUUGGACAAUGGGCGAAAGCCUGAUCCAGCAAUGCCGCGUGCAGGAUGAAGGCCUUCGGGUUGUAAACUGCUUUUGUACGGAACGAAAAGCCCCGGGUUAAUACCCUGGGGUCAUGACGGUACCGUAAGAAUAAGCACCGGCUAACUACGUGCCAGCAGCCGCCGUAA